AUUGAACGCUGGCGGCAUGCCUUACACAUGCAAGUCGAGCGGCAGCGCGGGGGCAACCCUGGCGGCGAGCGGCGAACGGGUGAGUAAAGCAUCGGAACGUAUCCAAUUGUGGGGGAUAGGCCGGCGAAAGCCGGGUUAAUACCGCAUACGCCCUGAGGGGGAAAGUGGGGGACCGCAAGGCCUCACGCAAAUGGAGCGGCCGAUGUCGGAUUAGCUAGUUGGUGAGGUAAAGGCUUACCAAGGCGACGAUCCGUAGCUGGUUUGAGAGAA
rnacentral:rRNA from 1 species